UACAGAGGUGCCGAGCGUUAGGCGGAAUCACUGGGCUUAAAGCGCGCGUAGGCGGAUGUUUAAGUGUCUUGUGAAAUCCCACGGCUCAACCGUGGAACUGCUGGGCAUACUGGACAUCUUGAGGCACUCAGGGGCGAGCGGAACAAGUGGUGGAGCGGUGAAAUGCGUAGAUAUCACUUGGAACGCCAAUGGUGAAGACAGCUCGCUGGGGGUGUCCUGACGCUGAGGCGCGAAAGCUAGGGGAGCAAACAGG
rnacentral:rRNA from 1 species